GGGUUGUGAGGUUAAGCGACUAAGCGUACACGGUGGAUGCCCUGGCAGUCAGAGGCGAUGAAGGGCGUGCUAAUCUGCGAUAAGCGCCGGUAAGGUGAUAUGAACCGUUAUAACCGGCGAUACCCGAAUGGGGAAACCCAGUGUGACUCGUCACACUAUCAUUAACUGAAUCCAUAGGUUAAUGAGGCGAACCGGGGGAACUGAAACAUCUAAGUACCCCGAGGAAAAGAAAUCAACCGAGAUUCCCCCAGUAGCGGCGAGCGAACGGGGAGGAGCCCAGAGCCUGAAUCAGCAUGUGUGUUAGUGGAAGCGUCUGGAAAGGCGCGCGAUACAGGGUGACAGCCCCGUACACAAAAGCGCAUGUGCUGUGAGCUCGAUGAGUAGGGCGGGACACGUGGUAUCCUGUCUGAAUAUGGGGGGACCAUCCUCCAAGGCUAAAUACUCCUGACUGACCGAUAGUGAACCAGUACCGUGAGGGAAAGGCGAAAAGAACCCCGGCGAGGGGAGUGAAAAAGAACCUGAAACCGUGUACGUACAAGCAGUGGGAGCACCCUUUGGGGUGUGACUGCGUACCUUUUGUAUAAUGGGUCAGCGACUUAUAUUCUGUAGCAAGGUUAACCGAAUAGGGGAGCCGGAGGGAAACCGAGUCUUAAUUGGGCGUUAAGUUGCAGGGUAUAGACCCGAAACCCGGUGAUCUAGCCAUGGGCAGGUUGAAGGUUGGGUAACACUAACUGGAGGACCGAACCGACUAAUGUUGAAAAAUUAGCGGAUGACCUGUGGCUGGGGGUGAAAGGCCAAUCAAACCGGGAGAUAGCUGGUUCUCCCCGAAAGCUAUUUAGGUAGCGCCUCGUGAAUUCAUCUCCGGGGGUAGAGCACUGUUUCGGCUAGGGGGCCAUCCCGGCUUACCAACCCGAUGCAAACUGCGAAUACCGGAGAAUGUUAUCACGGGAGACACACGGCGGGUGCUAACGUCCGUCGUGAAGAGGGAAACAACCCAGACCGCCAGCUAAGGUCCCAAAGUCAUGGUUAAGUGGGAAACGAUGUGGGAAGGCCCAGACAGCCAGGAUGUUGGCUUAGAAGCAGCCAUCAUUUAAAGAAAGCGUAAUAGCUCACUGGUCGAGUCGGCCUGCGCGGAAGAUGUAACGGGGCUAAACCAUGCACCGAAGCUGCGGCAGCGAACGUAUCACUUAAAGCGAUUCAGCGGAUGACGAUUGACGGAGCGAAGCGACGUCAAAGCGUAUACAAAGUCGAGU
rnacentral:rRNA from 1 species